CUUUAAGAGUCCUGAAGGAACGUUGAAGACGACGACGUUGAUAGGCCGGGUGUGUAAGCGCAGCGAUGCGUUGAGCUAACCGGUACUAAUGAACCGUGAGGCUUAACCUUACAACGCCGAAGCUGUU
rnacentral:rRNA from 1 species